rnacentral:rRNA from 1 species
UACAGAGGGGGCAAGCGUUGUUCGGAAUUACUGGGCGUAAAGGGCGCGUAGGCGGCCCGCUAAGUCGAACGUGAAAUCCCCGAGCUCAACUCGGGAACUGCGUCCGAUACUGGCGGGCUUGAAUCCGGGAGAGGGAUGCGGAAUUCCAGGUGUAGCGGUGAAAUGCGUAGAUAUCUGGAGGAGCACCGGUGGCGAAGGCGGCAUCCUGGACCGGCAUUGACGCUGAGGCGCGAGAGCUAGGGGAGCAAACGGG